rnacentral:rRNA from 1 species
UACGUAGGGGGCUAGCGUUGUCCGGAAUCAUUGGGCGUAAAGAGCGUGUAGGCGGUCCGGUAAGUCCGCUGUGAAAGUCCAGGGCUCAACCCUGGGAUGCCGGUGGAUACUGUCGGGCUCGAGUCCGGAAGAGGCGAGUGGAAUUCCUGGUGUAGCGGUGAAAUGCGCAGAUAUCAGGAGGAACACCAAUGGCGAAGGCAGCUCGCUGGGACGUGACUGACGCUGAGACGCGAAAGCGUGGGGAGCAAACAGG